GAUGAACGCUAGCUACAGGCUUAACACAUGCAAGUCGAGGGGAAACGGCAUUGAGUGCUUGCACUCUUUGGACGUCGACCGGCGCACGGGUGAGUAACGCGUAUCCAACCUUCCCAUUACUGUGGGAUAACCUGCCGAAAGGCAGACUAAUACCGCAUAGUCUUCGAUGACGGCAUCAGAUUUGAAGUAAAGAUUUAUCGGUAAUGGAUGGGGAUGCGUCUGAUUAGCUUGUUGGCGGGGUAACGGCCCACCAAGGCUACGAUCAGUAGGGGUUCUGAGAGGAAGGUCCCCCACAUUGGAACUGAGACACGGUCCGAACUCCUACGGGAGGCAGCAGUGAGGAAUAUUGGUCAAUGGACGGAAGUCUGAACCAGCCAAGUAGCGUGCAGGAUGACGGCCCUAUGGGUUGUAAACUGCUUUUGUAUGGGGAUAAAGUUAGGGACGUGUCCCUAUUUGCAGGUACCAUACGAAUAAGGACCGGCUAAUUCCGUG
rnacentral:rRNA from 1 species